GGCUGUGACUCAGUUGUUAGAGCGCUUGCCUGGCAUGUGUGAGGCACUGGGUUCAAGUCUCAGCAUCA
rnacentral:tRNA from 1 species